rnacentral:rRNA from 1 species
UACGGGGGGGGCAAGCGUUGUUCGGAAUUACUGGGCGUAAAGGGCGCGUAGGCGGCGCGGUAAGUCACUUGUGAAAUCUCUGAGCUUAACUCAGAACGGCCAAGUGAUACUGCAGUGCUUGAGUGUGGAAGGGGCAAUCGGAAUUCUUGGUGUAGCGGUGAAAUGCGUAGAUAUCAAGAGGAACACCUGAGGUGAAGACGGGUUGCUGGGCCAACACUGACGCUGAUGCGCGAAAGCCAGGGGAGCAAACGGG